rnacentral:rRNA from 1 species
CCUACGGGGGGCAGCAGCGGGGAAUAUUGCACAAUGGGCGCAAGCCUGAUGCAGCCAUGCCGCGUGUGUGAAGAAGGCCUUCGGGUUGUAAAGCACUUUCAGCGGGGAGGAAGGCGUUAAGGUUAAUAACCUUGGCGAUUGACGUUACCCGCAGAAGAAGCACCGGCUAACUCCGUGCCAGCAGCCGCGGUAAUACGGAGGGUGCAAGCGUUAAUCGGAAUUACUGGGCGUAAAGCGCACGCAGGCGGUCUGUCAAGUCGGAUGUGAAAUCCCCGGGCUCAACCUGGGAACUGCAUUCGAAACUGGCAGGCUAGAGUCUUGUAGAGGGGGGUAGAAUUCCAGGUGUAGCGGUGAAAUGCGUAGAGGUCUGGAGGAAUACCGGUGGCGAAGGCGGCCCCCUGGACAAAGACUGACGCUCAGGUGCGAAAGCGUGGGGAGCAAACAGGAUUAGAUACCCGGGUAGUC